rnacentral:rRNA from 1 species
GUGAGGAAUUUUGCGCAAUGGGGGAAACCCUGACGCAGCGACGCCGCGUGGAGGAUGAAGUCUUUCGAGAUGUAAACUCCUGUCAGUGGGGAAGAUAAUGACGGUACCCACAGAGGAAGCACCGGCUAACUCCGUGCCAGCAGCCGCGGUAAGACGGAGGGUGCAAGCGUUGUUCGGAAUUACUGGGCGUAAAGCGUACGUAGGCGGCGGGUUAAGUCGAAUGUUAAAGCCUGGAGCUCAACUCCAGAGAUGCAUUCGAUACUGGCUUGCUAGAGGUUGAUAGAGGAAAGCGGAAUUCCGAGUGUAGCGGUGAAAUGCGUAGAUAUUCGGAGGAACAUCAGUAGCGAAGGCGGCUUUCUGGGUCACACCUGACGCUGAGGUACGAAAGCGUGGGGAGCAAACGGGAUUAGAAACCCCAGUAGUCC